rnacentral:rRNA from 1 species
UGGGGAAUUUUGGACAAUGGGCGAAAGCCUGAUCCAGCAAUGCCGCGUGUGUGAAGAAGGCCUUCGGGUUGUAAAGCACUUUUGUCCGGAAAGAAAUCCUUGGCUCUAAUACAGUCGGGGGAUGACGGUACCGGAAGAAUAAGCACCGGCUAACUACGUGCCAGCAGCCGCGGUAAUACGUAGGGUGCAAGCGUUAAUCGGAAUUACUGGGCGUAAAGCGUGCGCAGGCGGUUUGCUAAGACCGAUGUGAAAUCCCCGGGCUCAACCUGGGAACUGCAUUGGUGACUGGCAGGCUAGAGUAUGGCAGAGGGGGGUAGAAUUCCACGUGUAGCAGUGAAAUGCGUAGAGAUGUGGAGGAAUACCGAUGGCGAAGGCAGCCCCCUGGGCCAAUACUGACGCUCAUGCACGAAAGCGUGGGGAGCAAACAGGAUUAGAUACCCUGGUAGUCCACGCCCUAAAACGAUGUCAACUAGUUGUUGGGGAUUCAUUUCCUUAGUAACGUAGCUAACGCGUGAAGUUGACCGCCUGGGGAGUACGGUCGCAAGAUUAAAACUCAAAUGAAUUGACGGGGUCAUAGCUGUUUCCCU